ensembl:misc_RNA Metazoa_SRP Metazoan signal recognition particle RNA
AGUUCCGCGUCAGUAUGGUGACCUUCCAGGAGCGGAGAACCACCAGGUUGCCUAAGGAGGGGUGAACCGGCCCAGGUCAGAAAUGGAGCAGGUCAGAACUCCCAUGCUGAUCA